rnacentral:rRNA from 1 species
CCUACGGGGGGCAGCAGUGAGGAAUUUUGCGCAAUGGGCGAAAGCCUGACGCAGCGACGCCGCGUGGGGGAUGAAGGCCUUCGGGUUGUAAACUCCUUUCGACCGGAAAGAAACGCCUUUUGGCUAAUAUCCAAGAGGUUUGACGGUACCGGGAGAAGAAGCCACGGCUAACUCUGUGCCAGCAGCCGCGGUAAGACAGAGGUGGCAAGCGUUGUUCGGAUUUACUGGGCGUAAAGAGUGCGUAGGCGGUUUUGCAUGUCUGGUGUGAAAUCCCGAGGCUUAACCUCGGAACUGCAUCAGAAACGGCAUGACUAGAGGACAGGAGGGGGAAGCGGAAUUCCAGGUGUAGCAGUGAAAUGCGUAGAUAUCUGGAAGAACACCGGUGGCGAAGGCGGCUUCCUGGACUGUUUCUGACGCUGAGGCACGAAAGCGUGGGUAGCAAACAGGAUUAGAUACCCCAGUAGUC